AGUUUCUCUCCCUCUUCCAGGAAGUGUGAGGCCUCAGGAGCCCCCAACAGCGUCUGAAGGAAUAGUCCUAAUUUUAAUUUUAAAGAAGCCUUUGACUGUUCUAUUUUGACUCUUUUAUUAAUUAGGCUACAUAAACUUUGGCACUUCUCUUUUUUGUUAGGAAAACUAUAUUUAGGGCAAGGAAACCCGAAAGUCUCAGCCGAGAACAUUUACAAGUACUGUAUUUUACGGACGAAAAUCCCCUUGCCAGGCUGGCGCUCAACUGCAAAAAAGACUCAGCAUGAGAAGACAGACCUUGGCUCUACACUGGAACUCUAGUUCUGUCCUUCCUGACACAUUCUGGAGCCUGCAGGAGCUGACAGCCACAGUUCCCACACAGCUACAGUCAGAGUAGGCCACUGUCUGCACAGUCUCAGGCAGGCACGGACCCUCUCCCGGAGUGCCCCCCAAACCAGGUGGGGCUCAAGCUCUGGCACUGUCAAUAGCUUCAUGUGUAGGCUGUGGGACCUGCUAGACCCUUAAGGCAAGCCGACAGGAUUGCUAAAGUUUCAGGCUGUCCACAGGAUAUCAAUGGUAACCCACUUACGAUCAUUAUCAUGCAACAUAGCAAGGCAGUAAUUGCACCAAUCCCAUCCUCUUUCUGAAGCCAUCAUGCUAAUUAAUUAGCAAGGCCUCUCUUUGCUAGAGAGCCAGAUAACAACAGUAUUUGCAACAGGACCUGAACACUCUAGUGAAGAUCUGCCCUUGGAGCAGCCGGUGCUGGAGUUGCGGCUGGCUAGUGGUGCGUGAACUCGCCUGAAAAGCCGUCCACAAGAUAGUAUUUGACGCCUGCUGUCAGAAGGCACGGUGGCUGUAGCAGUUGAGGAUGGACUGCCAACGGAGUGCCCUCCUGAAGGGAAGGCUGCUUGGUGGAGACCCUCCUGAAGGGAUGGCUCUCACCCAUGUGAGAGGCUGGAGACAGGGCUCAGCACUUACGAGUGCUUGCUGAUGAAGUGUAAGCAGAAGAGCGGGGAUCCCAGAACCCACAUUAGGUGGGUUGUCAAGGCCUGCAACUCCAGCUCCAUGGGAUACUAGAUGUUCCGGCUUCUGUAGGUGCCUGUACACAUGUGUAUGCACACAUACAGACACACACACGGAGAUACAUGUAUGCACACAUAAAAAGACCCACUUGAAAAUAGUAUGUUUUCAUUAUAAUAAAGAAAAAUAAGAGACGAGUGUCUGAUUAUAACUGGGGCACAUGGAAAUAGUGGUUUUUUUUUAAAAAAAGAAUAAUUAGAAGUGUUAAGUAUUCUGAAACAUCUUAUGAGAAUGUAUUCAUAACUUUCUUGAUAAAUAAUUAAUAAAACAAUUCAAAUCCA